AUCUAUCUCAUGAUAGAGGAUGGAAACCAGCCGUCCAGAAGAAGAGAGAGUUGGGCCGAGGAGGACUCCAGGGCUCAGCCAUGAGGAGAUCUGGGCGGUGGUCUCCUCUUCCUCGCGGCCUCUGCCCGUCCACUGCCCGGCCCUGACAUCACGAACGUGGCAGGCCAGCCUCUUCCAUCACGAACAGGCCAGUCGAGAAGACAAGACAUUCAGAGGGGCGCGAUGUAUGGAACCCAGUCCUGAGAGGCCUGCAUGCAGUCAGCAGGAGCCGACCCUGGGAAUGGACGCGAUGGCCUCGGAACACAGGGAUGUCCUCGUGCUGCUGCCCAGCCGGGAGCAACUGCGGCUGGCCGUGGGGGUGAAGGCUACUGGCCGCGAGCUUUUCCAGCAAGUGUGCAACGUGGCGAGCAUCAGAGACGCGCAGUUCUUUGGCCUCUGUGUGGUCAGAAACAAUGAGUAUAUAUUUAUGGAUUUGGAGCAAAAGCUCAGCAAGUACUUCUCAAAAGAUUGGAAGAAAGAAAGAAAUGAACUGCUCCGUCCAGAGGGGCUGUCCGCAGGGGGACUGUGGUGAGCCCUGAGGCUGCAAGCAGGUGUGCCCGCCCGAAGCCCGCCUUUGCAGAUGUUCUUGAACGCUGUAGACCACGUCCCACUCAGGGUUCUCCGGGUAGAAAAUACCAUGAGUCGAAUUGUCAGCUAUGGCUGCAGACACCUGAGCUUCGACUUUAAGCUGAGUGUGAAGCAAUCCAGGCCCCCCCAACUGGGAAGACAGGACAGCCAGCGGCACCUCCCUGCGGCUCACUUGCUCUUUCUUGCAUUUUCCCCACUAGGGAAAUGAGAAACCCAGAGCCCCCUUCGUGGCCUUCCUCCGAGUGCAGCACUACGUGGAAAACGGAAGGGUCAUAAGUAGAGACGGGGUUUCUCUGUGUUGGUCAAGCUGGUCUCAAACUCCCGACCUCAGGUGAUCCACCCGCCUCGACCUCCCAAAGUGCUGGGAUUACAGAGCUGCCUUAGAGCUUCUAGGGUAACAAAGACGUCCCUCAGGAGGAUCCUGAGACUUACUUCCAGAACAGAGCUUCAGGGCGACCACAGGGCACGGCACCUGUACUACUGCCACUUGAAGGAGCGCGUGCUGAGGUCACAGUGCGCUCACCGGGAGGAAGCCUACUUCCUGCUGGCUGCCUGCGCGCUGCAGGCUGACCUGGGCGAGCACCGGGAGUCGGCCCAUGCCGGGAGGUACUUCGAGCCACACUCCUACUUCCCACAGUGGAUCAUCACCAAGAGGGGGAUUGACUACAUCCUCCGGCACAUGCCUACCCUGCACCGUGAGCGCCAGGGCCUGAGCCCCAAGGAGGCCAUGCUGUGCUUCAUCCAGGAGGCCUGCCGGCUGGAGGACGUGCCCGUGCACUUCUUCAGGCUGCACAAGGAUAAGAAGGAAGGUCGUCCCACCGUGAUCCUGGGACUGGCCCUCAGGGGAGUGCACAUCUACCAGGAGGUGGACCGUGCUCCGCAGCUGCUGUACGACCUCCCCUGGCCCCACGUUGGGAAGCUGGCAUUUCUGGGAAAGAAGCUGGAGAUCCAGCUGGAUGGGCUGCCCGCAGCACAGAAGCUGGUUUACUACACGGGGUGCACCUGGCGGUCCAGGCACCUGCUGCACCUGCUGCGCGCCAGCCACCAGCUCCACCUCCGCGUGCGGCCCACUCUGCAACAGCUGCGGCAGCGGGAGGAGGCAGAAGAGAAGCAGCACUACCGGGAGUCCUAUAUCAGCGAUGAGCUGGAGCUGGACCUGGCCAGCAGGAGCUUCCCGGGCAGUGGGGUCAGCAGCCAGCACUGCCCCCACUGCCUCUCACGCCACUCCGCCGACAGCCACGGCAGUUCCUACACGUCAGGCAUCAAGGCCAACUCCUGGCUCAGGGAAUCCAGAGAGAUGUCUGUGGACGUGCCCUUGGAGGUCCACGGGCUCCAUGAGAAGGAGCCGUCCUCCAGCCCCAGGACCAGCCGCAGCCACCCCAGCACACGUGGUGACAGCCAAGCCACUCGUCAGGAGCCCUGCACCCAGGUCAGGACCAGAGGCCAGAGCGCCGAGGCCGUGCACCAGUUUCCUCCCGUAUAAAAUAGGAGGCCGUUCUUGACCACUGAGGUGCUUCCAGAGCUAGUGUUCAAGGCCCACACUCAGACCUGAUCCUAAAUUACACCAAACGCUAAGAGUCCAGGUCCACUGAGUUAAAAGGCAGAAAGCAGCCCCAGGAAAGAAGCUGGGCAAGGUGGGGGCCUCCUGAAAUGCAUCAAAGGAAGAUGCCAAGCCUCUCUCGCAGAGAUCCAGGAAAUGACAGCCGGGGUCAGUGAGGAGCAGCACAGCCAUGGCCUGGACGACAUGCAGCUGCACCAGCUGGCCCUGCACCCAGCGCCCACCUCACUCAGCCAUACCUUCCACCGCGCCCUGGACUGCAGGCUGGCAGGCCCCUGCGAGACCAGGGCCACUCUCCCCAGCAAGAGGUCCAGCAACUGUCUCGCCCUGGACCUGUUCGGAGAGGCUCCACCACAGGAGUUUGUGGUGUAGGCACCACCCACCCAGCAGUACCGUCCGCACCGCCAGGCUCAGCCCCUGCCCACCCCACUUCCACAUGGCCCUCGUCCCUUCCUGCCCGCCAGAUGCUGCCUGCACUUCCGCAGCCAGCACGCUCCACAGGUUCACCUGUAAGAGGUGUGGAGCUGGCUCUGACAUCAACCUGGGAGGUAACAAACAGGUCCCGCACCUCAUGCCUGUCUGCCAUACACCCGGGAGCUCUUUCCCUCAGGGUCUCAGGGAGCCAGUUCAAGGUCUGGCUGUCAAGUGUCCAGAGAGCCAUGGUGUUGGCCCCUGAGGCAGCCUGUCACCCAUCCUAAUCUGGGAGAGAAGGUGACACAGCUGGGCCCAGACCCUGGAGAGACAGCUCUGCAGUUUCCCACACUGUCAGCUCCCCAAGAGACAGUCCUGAUGGGCACAGGCUGCCAGAGCUCCCAAGCCGGAGUUCACAGUCAUCACUGUGCAGGACCCAGGUUCCUCCCAGACCUGAACCCCUCUCUGCAACUCCUGUUUGCAAGCGCUGGGCCUGCCAGACAGAGGCCCCUCUUGUGGUGCAAGCCCAGCUCUGUCACCUGAGAUCCAGCCAGAGACCCUCCUCCACCAUCCACAGUCAAUGGCUGUGCUUUCCCUUCCAAGCCAGGGCUUCCAAAGACCCCACUGCCCCGGAGCUGAAGCCGACUCUGCUCCCAUCUCAGCCAUGAGGCCUCAGGACCCACUCUGCUCACAGGUGGCUUCCUUAAGCCAUUGCCCUGGCUGGGGUUGGGCUGGUGCAGCCCAGCUGGCGGAGGGGCGAAGCUUUGGUGACAGACGGAGAGUGGGGGACUAGCUGUGCAUGGCACCUGCUCUGAUCCGGUGGGCUCCACGGGUAGUGCGACCUCGGUUCUGUGGGCUCUGGAAGGCCACCAGGGUAGGGUCUCCCCAGGGCUCCUCCCCCUGCACAACACUCCUGCACACGUGCAAACCUGCUGUCCUCUGCAUUUAGAGGAAUGGCCCGUGCAUCCCUGCUAGUCUCAGGCCCAUCCCAGAGCACUGAGAGGCCACAAUCGUUCAGCCCUGUGCCCUGAACACCACUGCCCCCUUCACUGUCUGUGUGUGGUGAAGACCACGCCACACCACCCUCCAGCUCACUGGAGACAAGCAUGAGCUUGAGCCCCAUGGCCUGGUGCAGGGCUGCGUGCAUUGAGGCCGCCUCUUUGACGGGUCCAUCCAGGGGGACCCUCUCCUUUCUGUGAAAGGGAAUCGUGUGUGUGCCCCAGGCACGUGUAAUAAAGAACCCGAGCAGAUGCCUCCUGCUUGAACCAGGACCAGCCUGCCUGGGGGGCUGGUGAGAUGCCGGCUGUAACUCACUCAGGGGCAUCGGCCACAGAAGGCUGCGUUCUGUAGAUGGCCACAAGCCCCAGUGCUGCCGAGGGCAAGACUGCCCACAAUUCCUGUGCGGCAGGGGAGGUGCGCCUAGUGCUGGCUCAGAUGUGAGCAUGUGGGCACUUCCCAAAGCCAUUCCCAUUAGUACAAGAUGAUUGAUUUGCCCCGCUCCGGGGCAAUGACUAUCUUCUUCCUUUGAAGAAACUUGGAAGCAAGAGCCCAGUCCCAUGGACCAUGAGGGAAGGUACACACCAGUGUUGGGGAGACACAGCAGGUGGUGUCCACCAUGAAGCAGGGUCUGAGCCAAGACCUACAUGCACACAUGCACACAUCCACAUGCAUGCACACACAUACAUGCACACACGCACACAUCUGCACACAGAUGCACACGCAUGCACACACACACAUGCACACAUCCAUACAUGCACACUCCCCAUGUCCAGGCUUCCCCUGCCAGUCACCUUCGCCACACGCCAUAGACCCCAGGGGCAGCAAAGGCCGGGCCAGCCCACCCCUAACUUGUGGAAGCAUCAGUGAAGCUGGCCCGGCGCCUUGUGUCCUGGCAGAGGCGAGGCAGCCAUGGCCCCUGGCUGACCCGAGAAGCUUCUCUGGCCCCACUGGGGAUUCCUAUUUCUGUCCUUCCUCUGGGCCUUGUGGACAGACAUGGAGAAUUAUGCCAGAUGCCUGUUAACUACCGGGUAGGGCUGCUCCAAAGACUCUAAUCUCUGGUGUUCAGGGUAUGUGGAGAGGACAAUUAGAGGCCCGCUGCCCUGAGACUUGCCCAAGAGGGGACGGCCAGGCAGGCCACAUGAAGCCCAUGUGGGCUACCAGCUCAGACACACCCAGCCGGGGCCGGGGCAGACUCCCCUAAGGCUUGAGCCUCAGCUUUGCUCACCGCCCCUCCCCACAGCCCCCUUCCACGUCACCCACACCUGGAGGGGCAGGAGCGGAGCUGGAAGCAGAAGGCCAUCCUGGGAGGGGGCUCCUUCCCAGACAGAAAGCAGCAGAGAGCGGGGCUGCGGGAAGUCGGGGAAGCCAACCUUUCUUUUUGCACAGAUUGAGAUCAGAGGUCUUUUAGGCAAUACGGCUAUUUUCCAGAAAAAUGGACACCGACUGGUAGGGACAGGGAUGUUUCCUAAGAAGGAGGGUGGGGGGCAGGGCUGGGGGUGGCCUGCAAACAGCAGAAGCCGCUGUGUACAGGGGGGCUUGUGGCCUUCAGGUGGCAUGAGGCAGGCCGGUGGGGGAGGGGCACAGGGUAAAGUCCCCAAUCCCUGUCUUACCCUGUCAGUGGAGAGGAAAAGAAAACCACCUGUCCCAGUCCCUGUGGACCCCCAAGGAGCAGGCCAAGGACCUCCAGCAUCACAGCCUCGCAUGAGCCCGGCUGGGGUGGUCAGUCCUGUGGCCCGGGCCAGGUCAGCGGUCAAGCUGGCAGGUCCAGACUCGCAAGAACGACCCAGAGAGCUUGUUCAGGCUGGGUUUCUCAGCCCCCCACUGCGUCUGCUUCUGUGGGUCUCGCUGGGCCCCGGAACCUGCAUUGCUGCUGCGGGGGUCUGGGUCUGAGGGCGCAGCUCUCCCUGCUGGGUGGGGUGUGGGAGGCGGCAGACCCUGCUCCUGGGGGCAGUUGGUCUGGAGUGGUGACAGGGUGGCCCUGGGCAGGGUGUGGCCGGUUCCCUCUUGCCUGUGUUGAAGCAUGGACUCCUCUGGGCCCUCAGCCAUCAGCCCAGCCUCCCUCACGGAAGAUGGAGAAUUCCAGACAAAGCUCAUCCUUCCUCCAGGAAAGCCUGCUCCAUCUGCAGUAAUUGACGGCCUGAGAAGCUCUGCUCUUGGGCUGAACCCCAAGCAGGAGGAGGAGGCCGGGGUCCUCAGGUGCCCAUCUGGGAGGCCCGGGGCAGCCAGCAACUGCCUGUGUGUCUGGGAUCUCACAGGAGAGGUGGUUCCCAAGCCGAGCAUCAGCCCGUCGUGGCCCAUGGACUCUGGGUUCCCCAGGCGGGGGAAAUGUGCCAGAGCCACGGGGAAAGCUGAGCUCUGCGGCCCUGCGAGUGCAUUCACAAAGGUUUAUCAGUUUGUAAAACUUGCAGAAAAAGCCGUCCGUGUUUGGGACAGGCGGCCCCUUCCACUCAGGGUUCAUCCGUCACGCUCCUUUCGCCUUGAGGGGCACUGAGGGCCCUGUGGGUGUGUGGGGCCCGCGUAGGGGAGGCUGAACUGGACACACACUUGGCUCGGUCUGCUGGGAGACGUUUCGGGGUUCCCAGUCAUGUCGUCUCUACCUGUAGGAGCAGCAGGGAGUCUCAGGACAGGAUGGCCAGGGCCAGAGGUCACCUGGUGAGGCGGACAUGUACUCCCAACCUGGGAGGUGUGGGGACUGGAAGAGAAACAGAGCUGGCAGUGGGAGGCUGGACGUGGUAGGCAAUGCCGGUCCUGCAGCCGGGCCCAUGACCGUUCUCACGGCGGCGAGCUGUGAUGGGGAGGCUGCCUUCCAGGUGCCAAGGUUAGAAAACAAAUCCGGGGCAGCCCUGCCGGGAGAAAGCUGGUAUUCUACAAAGGCGCGUGAAGAGGUGAACACGCAGUGGGGAAAAUGGCGCGGGUUAAUUGUUUAUUAAUCACAGGCAGCUCACCAAUAAAACCGUCACCAAA